rnacentral:rRNA from 1 species
AUUGAACGCUGGCGGCAGGCCUAACACAUGCAAGUCGAACGGUAACAGGAAGAAGCUUGCUUCUUUGCUGACGAGUGGCGGACGGGUGAGUAAUGUCUGGGAAACUGCCUGAUGGAGGGGGAUAACUACUGGAAACGGUAGCUAAUACCGCAUGACGUCGCAAGACCAAAGAGGGGGACCUUCGGGCCUCUUGCCAUCGGAUGUGCCCAGAUGGGAUUAGCGAGGUGGUGGGGUAACGGCUCACCAAGGCGACGAUCCCUAGCUGGUCUGAGAGGAUUAACAGCCACACUGGAACUGAGACACGGUCCAGACUACUACGGGAGGCAGCAGUGGGGAAUAUUGCACAAUGGGCGCAAGCCUGAUGCAGCCAUGCCGCGUGUAUGAAGAAGGCCUUCGGGUUGUAAAGUACUUUCAGCGGGGAGGAAGGGAGUAAAGUUAAUACCUUUGCUCAUUGACGUUACCCGCAGAAGAAGCACCGGCUAACUCCGUGCCAGCCGCCGCAGUAA